UGAGUAACCUGCCCUUAACUCUGGGAUAAGCCUGGGAAACUGGGCCUAAUACCGGAUAUGACUCCUCAUCGCAUGGUGGGGGGUGGAAAGCUUUUUUGUGGUUUUGGAUGGACUCGCGGCCUAUCAGCUUGUUGGUGAGGUAAUGGCUCACCAAGGCGACGACGGGUAGCCGGCCUGAGAGGGUGACCGGCCACACUGGGACUGAGACACGGCCCAGACUCCUACGGGAGGCAG
rnacentral:rRNA from 1 species